rnacentral:rRNA from 1 species
AUACGGAGGGUCCAAGCGUUAUCCGGAUUCAUUGGGUUUAAAGGGUCCGCAGGCGGGAAAAUAAGUCAGUGGUGAAAGCCUACAGCUCAACUGUAGAACUGCCAUUGAUACUGUUUUUCUUGAGUAUAGAUGAAGUGGGCGGAAUAUAUCAUGUAGCGGUGGAAUGCAUAGAUGUGAUAUAGAACACCGAUUGCGAAGGCAGCUCACUAAACUAUUACUGACGCUCAGGGACGAAAGCGUGGGGAGCGAACAGGAUUAGAAACCCUAGUAGUCC